GCCUGUUUAGCUCAGUGGUAGAGCGCUAGUCUCGUAAACUAGCGGUCAUGAGUUCAAUCCUCAUAGCGGGCA
rfam:Daphnia magna strain Xinb3 scaffold02066, whole genome shotgun sequence.